GAUGAACGCUGGCGGCGUGCCUAAUACAUGCAAGUCGAGCGAACAGACGAGGAGCUUGCUCCUUUGACGUUAGCGGCGGACGGGUGAGUAACACGUAGGUAACCUACCUAUAAGACUGGGAUAACUUCGGGAAACCGGAGCUAAUACCGGAUAAUAUUUCGAACCGCAUGGUUCGAUAGUGAAAGAUGGCUUUGCUAUCACUUAUAGAUGGACCUGCGCCGUAUUAGCUAGUUGGUAAGGUAACGGCUUACCAAGGCAACGAUACGUAGCCGACCUGAGAGGGUGAUCGGCCACACUGGAACUGAGACACGGUCCAGACUCCUACGGGAGGCAGCAGUAGGGAAUCUUCCGCAGUGGGCGAAAGCCUGACGGAGCAACGCCGCGUGAGUGAUGAAGGUCUUCGGAUCGUAAAACUCUGUUAUUAGGGAAGAACAAACGUGUAAGUAACUGUGCACGUCCUGACGGUACCUAAUCAGAAAGCCACGGCUAACUACGUG
rnacentral:rRNA from 1 species